UUUUUUUUCAAAAGUAGGCUCGGUUGUGGUCUUUAUCUUUAGCUUGUAGGUUAUACUUGGUGCCAAAAGCCUAAUUCAGUUGCUGUUAAGUUCAAUUGAAGCACAGAAGUUGCACAAAAAACAAAAUAGAAAUGUAUCGUGGGAAUAACAGCCGAGUAUAUUCUCCAAAAUUCGCUACCAAUGAUAAUCCACCUGAGUUGGACGCUAUAUUUGUUACUCGGUUUAAAAAAUGUUUCUUUGUACUUGAUGUUUGAGAAAAAAAAACUCUAAAAAAAUUAUUUUUUACAGCUUUACAAUCCUGGACACUACUAUGCACAAUCCUGAACACUUCUAUAAGUAUAUAAAAAAAACUCCUUUUCAAUUUCAAUUUAGAUGUUUUGCAGUUUAUGACGUAUAAUUCAUUGUUAGAUGCUAUACAGACAUACGAAGAAAAAAUGAUUACAAAGUAUCGUGUCGCAAAGGAAUCAUAAGAUUUUUCAAAAGAUGAUAAUUCUUCAAACGACUGCGACUUCAGAAGACUCACGUUUAUUCGUACAUCUAAUUACAAGGAAAAACAUUUAUAUAUUGGACAAUGGAUUUAACACUAGAAAACUUUUUUUAUAAUUGAUGACAUAUUUUU